AAAACUUACUUCCUUGGCUGCUUAUCGGCUCACUUACUGUUCUGGAUGGUGACACCAAGGAGGACGGUAUGACGUGCAGAGUCAUGUAAAGAAGCUUGUGCUGUCUCACUCAAACAACAUCUAAAAAGCGCUUUUCAAAAACGUCACGGCCAGAGUCAUCGUUACCCCAAUUUGUAGAGGAAAUGGAUUCCGAGAGGUUGAAUAAAAGUCUCAAGUGGUUCCAGUUAGAAUACAAGACUUGAACGCAAAUCCUUUACGUUACCCAGAGUCUUAUUCUGAUUGGUUAGGAUAUGUGUCCUUAAAAGUGAAUCCCGUGGUGGACUCACCUCAUCUGUCCAAGGCUAUGAUGUUUUAGGAGAGUUUCACCAUUGCUGAACAACGGAGACAGCCAGGAGCUCCUAAGUGCAAAGAGGUUGAUGGCUACAUCGCUCAUUCUGGAUGCUGCCAGAUCAUUCCCACCACCUGCCAUUGUGUUGUCUCCAGACAACGGCAGACAACCACAGAAGCUUCGAAGCCCUAAGGCUACUUGGAGAGAAGAAGACUGUCCCUGGCAAAGGUAGGUGAGUCUUGCUUAGGAUACCUAAUGAUUCACAAAAGACCACGAUGACUUGGAAUGAGGAGUAAUUAUGCUAUAGAGAGGUAGACAUCUGGCCCAGGGGAAAGGGCCCAGUAAAGUGGUCUGUGUUGUACAUCAGACCAGAAGUGGGGUAGGAAUGGGCUCUUGAAUGUCUCAGAAGGGUUUAAAGUAUGUUGUCUCUUCUAUUUGUUACUCUAUCACACUUUGUUCAUUUUUUGGUGUGUGUUCCCAUGAGUGCACACAUAGGGAACGUCACUGUUGGUGUCAUUCUCUUGAUUUCCAUGCUCUUUUUGAGGCAGGAUCUCUCCUGAGCCUGGUGCUCACUUUGGUACACAGACCAACAUGCUUCCGAGCUUCAAGAAAUCUUCCUGUCCCUGUCCCUCAAGUGAUGGAACUAUAGGCAUGCACUAACAUGCCAAGAUUUUUAUAUGCGUGCUAGGAACCUGAACUCAGGUCUUCAUGCUUAUAUAGCAAGCACUUUAAGCACACAGAGUUAUCUCCUCAGCCCCCAGUUCAAUUCUGUAGACCCAAGAUGACUGUGUCUUUCUCCUCUGUGGAUGCAAGAUUAGUAUGGUUAGGGCAAUGGUUUCUAUAAUAAUCUCAUCUAAACUCUGAAAUUAAUUUCUCUCCAGUACCGGCACUACUGUAAAAUUCUUAACUAAUCAGUGUAUUAAAUUAUCGUUCCUAUGAGGGGAAAGAUAACUGGUUGACUAUCACAUCAUGACCCCAAGUAUUUUCUCCUUGUGUGAUGUCAUCAUUUAGCUGUAUCACUAGCACUGUUGGGUGCUAAGUAGCCCAGCACAUCAUGUGUACUAUGUGGCUUUAACUUGUUUCUAUGACAACCUUAGUAUUCUCUCACACUAGCAAAAUUCAGAUGUAUGUCCAUGAAUUUGAAGGGAACAUCUCUUGAGAGUCCAACACCAUACCUAUAUCAGCCUGCUUCACAGAGCAUUCUGGGAAGAUGGCCAUAAUCAAUAUUGCUGUAUAUGACUUCAUGGGUGGCCUUCCAUGUGAAACCUUUCUGGGAGAGUCUAAGAUAUCCAAACUCUUCUCUAGGCUAGUAAACAAACAUCCUGCUUGUGGAUUCAUUAUCCUUUGGAGGUCUAUUUAUACCACUUUGUCAAGUUCAUGUAUUAGUAUAUACUUCAGGGCCAAGAG
ensembl:lncRNA